rnacentral:rRNA from 1 species
ACGAACGCUGGCGGCGUGCUUAACACCUGCAAGUCGCACGGAAAGGCCCUGCUUUUGUGGGGUGCUCGAGUGGCGAACGGGUGAUUAACACGUGAGUAACCUGCCCUUGACUUUGGGAUAACUUCAGGAAACUGGGGCUAAUACCGGAUAGGAGCUCCUGCUGCAUGGUGGGGGUUGGAAAGUUUCGGCGGUUGGGGAUGGACUCGCGGCUUAUCAGCUUGUUGGUGGGGUAGUGGCUUACGAAGGCGUUGGCGGGUAGCCGGCCUGGGAGGGUGACCGGCCACAUUGGGACUAAGAUACGGCCCAGACUCCUACGGGAGGCAGCGGUGGGAAAUAUUGCACAAUGGGCGGAAGCCUGAUGCAGCGACGCCGCGUGCGGGAUGACGGCCUUCGGGGUGUAAACCGCUUUCGCCUGUGACGAAGCGUGAGUGACGGUAAUGAGUAAAGAAGCACCGGCUAACUACGUG